UAGAGUUUGAUCCUGGCUCAGAUUGAACGCUGGCGGCAUGCCUUACACAUGCAAGUCGAACGGUAACAGGUCUUCGGACGCUGACGAGUGGCGAACGGGUGAGUAAUACAUCGGAACGUGCCCAGUCGUGGGGGAUAACUACUCGAAAGAGUAGCUAAUACCGCAUACGAUCUGAGGAUGAAAGCGGGGGACCUUCGGGCCUCGCGCGAUUGGAGCGGCCGAUGGCAGAUUAGGUAGUUGGUGGGAUAAAAGCUUACCAAGCCGACGAUCUGUAGCUGGUCUGAGAGGACGACCAGCCACACUGGGACUGAGACACGGCCCAGACUCCUACGGGAGGCAGCAGUGGGGAAUUUUGGACAAUGGGCGAAAGCCUGAUCCAGCAAUGCCGCGUGCAGGAUGAAGGCCUUCGGGUUGUAAACUGCUUUUGUACGGAACGAAAAAGCUCCUUCUAAUACAGGGGGCCCAUGACGGUACCGUAAGAAUAAGCACCGGCUAACUACGUGCCAGCAGCCGCGGUAAUACGUAGGGUGCGAGCGUUAAUCGGAAUUACUGGGCGUAAAGCGUGCGCAGGCGGUUAUGUAAGACAGAUGUGAAAUCCCCGGGCUCAACCUGGGAACUGCAUUUGUGACUGCAUGGCUAGAGUACGGUAGA
rnacentral:rRNA from 1 species